rnacentral:pre_miRNA from 1 species
CAUACUUCUUUAUGUACCCAUAUGAACAUACAAUGCUAUGGAAUGUAAAGAAGUAUGUA